GAAACAAGCCGCCUGGAAAUGAAGGGACCUUUAAAGGUCGCUCCGUUCCAGGCGGCUUUUU
rnacentral:sRNA from 1 species